UACGAAGGGGGCUAGCGUUGCUCGGAAUCACUGGGCGUAAAGGGUGCGUAGGCGGGUUUUUAAGUCAGAGGUGAAAUCCUGGAGCUCAACUCCAGAACUGCCUUUGAUACUGAGAAUCUUGAGUAUGGGAGAGGUGAGUGGAACUGCGAGUGUAGAGGUGAAAUUCGUAGAUAUUCGCAAGAACACCAGUGGCGAAGGCGGCUCACUGACCCAUAACUGACGCUGAGGCACGAAAGCGUGGGGAGCAAACAGG
rnacentral:rRNA from 1 species